AACGCACAUUGCGCUCCUGGGUAUUCCUGGGAGCAUGCCCGUUUGAGAAUCAGUGAAAACCUCAACACCUUCUGUGUUUCCUUGUGGGACACAGAUGGCUGUUGGACUUGGGUCAUUUGCGAACAGGUGUGGAUACUGAUCAAUGUCGGAUCUGGGGGGAGAUGAUGUUGAUCGUUCUCGGGUCGUGGGGCCGGGGAGAACAAAGGUAUCCGGGUGUAAGCACCGCACAGCAAUGAUCUUAAAUUCAAUGUCCGCUGCUCCUUCUUAUGUAGGUGCAAUGGCCCGAGUGCUGGAAUGGUCUCGCGACUUUUUUAUCUCUCGUGUCCGCAUUUCCAGAUGAUGUGAUGCUGGUGUGAACUCUACUGAUUGUAAAGAGGUCUGGUGCCGUAAGGCUCCUUCUCUUAACUUGGUCUCAAAUCGGGUAGGAGAACCCGCUGAACUUAA
rnacentral:misc_RNA from 1 species